rnacentral:rRNA from 1 species
UACGGAGGGUGGCAAGCGUUAUCCGGAUUCACUGGGUUUAAAGGGUGCGUAGGUGGUCUGUUAAGUCAGCGGUGAAAGCCUGGAGCUCAACUCCAGAAUUGCCAUUGAUACUGACGGACUUGAAUCAAGUUGAGGUGGAUGGAAUAUUACAUGUAGCGGAUGAAAUGCUUAGAUAUGUAAUAGAACACCAAUUGCGAAGGCAGUUCACUAAGCUUGUAUUGACACUGAGGCACGAAAGCGUGGGGAUCAAACAGG